UACGAGGGGAGCAAGCGUUGUUCGGAUUUACUGGGCGUAAAGGGCGUGCAGGCGGUCUGUUAAGUUCAGGGUGAAAGCUCCCGGCUCAACUGGGAGAGGUCCUUGGAUACUGGCAGACUUGAGGGAGGUAGAGGAGAGUGGAAUUCCCGGUGUAGUGGUGAUAUGCGUAGAUAUCGGGAGGAACACCAGUGGCGAAGGCGGCUCUCUGGGCCUUUCCUGACGCUGAGACGCGAAAGCGUGGGGAGCGAACCGG
rnacentral:rRNA from 1 species